GAAUCUACAAUGGAGGGUGCGGAGGCCCCAACAGAGAUUUCUCCGCUCCACAGAGCCCUCCCUCAACCUUCACCAAGGUUGAGGCUGGACACAAUCCAACCCCUUCAUCACGGAGGAGUUGGAACGACGGAUGCGGAGGCCUCAAAUCCUCCGCUCCACCUACCCUACCCUUUCCUACCCUGCCCUUUCCUACCCUACCCCAGACCCCACCAAAUUUAUCCCCUGUCCCCCUCCCCACCCCACAUAAGGGGAGGAGGACAGAUCUCCCUUUUUUUCUUUUUUUUUUCUCCACAGAAAAUGAGGAUAUAAAUUAUCCUCGCUGCAAAGCAGCCACAACGGAGGGUGCGGAGGCCCCAACAGAGAUUUCUCCGCUCCACAGAGCCCUCCCUCAACCUUCACCAAGGUUGAGGCUGGAGACAAUCCAACCCCUUCAUCACGGAGGAGUUGGAACGACGGAUGCGGAGGCCUCAAAUCCUCCACUCCACCUACCCUACCCUUUCCUACCCUUUCCUACCCUACCCUACCCUACCCUACCCUACCCCAGACCCCACCAAAUUUAUCCCGUCCCCCUCCCCACCCCACAUAAGGGGAGGAGGACAGAUCUCGCUUUUUUUCUUUUUUUUUCUCCUUACAAAAUGAGGAUAUAAAUUAUCCGGAGGC